rnacentral:rRNA from 1 species
AGGUGAACCUGCGGAAGGAUCAUGAUAUGCAACCACAACACGCACUCUCUACUUGUGUACCGACGUUAGGUCAACCACGCAAGUGGGUGGCCUACUUAACCUACACACCAUUGAACAACCAAUGAUAAAACCAAACUCUGAAGCUUUGGCUGCCGUUAACCGGCAGUUCUAACCAAGAACAACUCUCAACAACGGAUAUCUUGGCUCUCGCAACGAUGAAGAACGCAGCGAAAUGCGAUACGUAGUGUGAAUUGCAGAAUUCCGUGAACCAUCGAAUCUUUGAACGCAUAUUGCGCUCGACACCUCGGUGAAGAGCAUGUCUGCCUCAGCGUCGGUUUACACCCUCACCCCUCCUACUCUCCUUGAGUGGGCUUGUUGUGCUUGCUCAAGCCAACAUCAGGGGUGGAUCUGGCCCUCCCAAUCAGUGCUCGCACCGGUUGGGUUGGCUGAAGCACAGAGGCUUAAACUGGGACCCAAUUCGGGCUCAACUGGAUAGGUAGCAACACCCUCGGGUGCCUACACGAAGUUGUGUCUGAGGACCUGGUUAGGAGCCAAGCAGGAAACGUGCCUUUGGCACGUACUCUGUAUUCGACCUGAGCUCAGGCAAGGCUACCCGCUGAACUUAAGCAUA